AAAUGGAAACGAAAAAUUAUUUUGCUAGGGGUAGAACCCAAAACCCCUCAACAAUAGACUCCAUUGCUCAAUCUUCUCUGCAGAUUUUAAGAUUUCUUUCUCGAAGAAGGUUCUUAGAUUGAAACAAUGCCAGAUUAUCGAGGGCUGGUGGAUGAGUUUGUUGCCAAGCUUAACAAACGUAAAGUGGAGGGAUCACAUGCAACUGCUCGGCUCACAGCAGAGUUGCUUCGCUCUGUGGUAUCGCUGCAAAAGCUGCCUUGCAAGAACCAGGCUUCAGUGCUCAUGAAGUCUGUGAGGAGCGUAGGCGUGCAGUUAAUUGCUGCAAAUCCUACUGGUUAGAGCUCCUUAAAGUGACAUUGCAUGUGAUGAAAAUGAUUCAGUUUGUGUAGUCGUCACCUUAGGUUUUUAACAUUACUUCUUGCCAGUGGUUUAGUUAUUUGAUAGUUCUAAUGGCUAGGUCCAAGACUCGAGACCCAUUUUUGGAUUAAAAUGUAUUUUUGAAUAGCUAUUUUUUUGGGAGAAUGUGUGCUUAAAAAAUAAGGAAAAAUUUUAGGUUUACGUCUAAAAUUAUUUUGCGAGAGAAUGUCUGAUUUAAAAUGAGUUUUCGAACAAUGAGUUUUUGGAAAUAUGGAGCCCAAACAGGGGCUAAGUCAAUGCUGCAGCAUU